AUUUAUAUAGCUAACAGAAAAGCCAGAGAGGUACUCCAAAGUGCACUUAAACAUAACGAUAAAAAGAAACCCAUGAUGGAGCCAAAACCUGACAGAAAAACCAGAGAGAUACCCCAAAGUGCACUUAAAAAUAAUGAGAAAAAACGAGGAAGUGGUCCCAAAUAUUGAAGCCCAAACCGAAGUUGGCAAAACCGAAGUUAACUUGUUUAAAAUUAAAAUUAAUGAUAAACAAGAAAUAUCAUAAAUAACAACAUUCCCAAUAAAUUGUAUUGACCUGUCUUGCAA